AACGAACGCUGGCGGCAUGCCUAACACAUGCAAGUCGAACGAUCCCUUCGGGGAUAGUGGCGCACGGGUGCGUAACGCGUGGGAACCUGCCCUUAGGUUCGGAAUAACUCAGAGAAAUUUGAGCUAAUACCGGAUAAUGUCUUCGGACCAAAGAUUUAUCGCCUUUGGAUGGGCCCGCGUUGGAUUAGCUAGUUGGUGGGGUAAAGGCCUACCAAGGCGACGAUCCAUAGCUGGUCUGAGAGGAUGAUCAGCCACACUGUGACUGAGACACGGCCCAGACUCCUACGGGAGGCAGCAGUGGGGAAUAGUGGACAAUGGGCGAAAGCCUGAUCCAGCAAUGCCGCGUGAGUGAUGAAGGCCUUAGGGUUGUAAAGCUCUUUUACCCGGGAUGAUAAUGACAGUACCGGGAGAAUAAGCCCCGGCUAACUCCGUG
rnacentral:rRNA from 1 species